rnacentral:rRNA from 1 species
GAUGAACGCUGGCGGCGUGCCUAAUACAUGCAAGUCGAGCGAAUGGAUUAAGAGCUUGCUCUUAUGAAGUUAGCGGCGGACGGGUGAGUAACACGUGGGUAACCUGCCCAUAAGACUGGGAUAACUCCGGGAAACCGGGGCUAAUACCGGAUAACAUUUUGAACCGCAUGGUUCGAAAUUGAAAGGCGGCUUCGGCUGUCACUUAUGGAUGGACCCGCGUCGCAUUAGCUAGUUGGUGAGGUAACGGCUCACCAAGGCAACGAUGCGUAGCCGACCUGAUGGGGUGAUCGGCCACACUGGGACUGAGACACGGCCCAGACUCCUACGGGAGGCAGCAGUAGGGAAUCUUCCGCAAUGGACGAAAGUCUGACGGAGCAACGCCGCGUGAGUGAUGAAGGCUUUCGGGUCGUAAAACUCUGUUGUUAGGGAAGAACAAGUGCUAGUUGAAUAAGCUGACACCUUGACGGUACCUAACCAGAAAGCCACGGCUAACUACGUGCCAGCCGCCGCAGUAA